UUGAGGUUAGCUUAUUAAUAAAGCUUAGUUAUUGUUACUGACUAGAAUUUAACUCAAG
rnacentral:tRNA from 1 species